rnacentral:misc_RNA from 1 species
CGGAAGGCUUCAACACAAGAAUUUAGUACAAAUGAGAGGGUGGUGUAGGAAGGGGUAUGAACUUAUGAUUGUGUAUGAUUACAUGCCUAAUGGGAGUUUGAAUAAAUGGAUAUUCGAUAAGCCGGAGAAGGUUAUGAAUUGGGUAGACCGGAGGAGGGUCCUAGCUGAUGUUGCUGAGGGGUUGAACUAUUUGCAUCAUGGUUGGGAACAAGUUGUUGUACAUAGGGAUAUUAAAUCUAGCAAUG